UCAGCCUCAAUCUGAUUUUAUUCUUAUUUCACAGUUCAGCGAUACAAUACAGUUUGCCACUCGGAUGUGAGACAUUAAAAAAAGAACAGCAACGAAAAGUCAGAUAGGGAAGCAGGAACAAUCAGCCGGCAUCCCCGUCGGCCCCUCUCUUUGGUGUUUUGCUUUCCCUUAAGAUCUGCUGCCGAAGAAAGCCAAGCUCCUCAUUAAAAAAUCCUCCUGAGAGAGCAACACUCAAGGGAGCGUUUUACAUCGCUGACUACUCAGCGAGCUUUAAACCUGGAAAGAGAACGGCAGACAAGGAUGAGAGGCGGCGCAUCCGAGAAUAGGAACAGAGAGGGAAUCGUGUAUCUGUCUCGGCUGCCACCGUUAAGAUGGAAAAGGCAGCCGGUGAAGGAGCGACCUUAGACAAAACUAUCCCACUGUUCGCUACAGCGGAUCAUGAAGGAAAAACGACUCCUGUGGGCUGACACCAAUACAUUUCCUCCUGUCGGCGGAUCAAGAUGACUUCAAUCUGCUGUUCUUAUCUCAGAGAAUCGACGCUAUCGAUCUCUCUUCAUAAUAGAUACCCUGUUUUGCCCAGAAUUGAAUUAAAGGAGCAACAUUAUGACCUCUUA